rnacentral:rRNA from 1 species
GAUGAACGCUGGCGGCGUGCCUAAUACAUGCAAGUCGAGCGAACGGACGAGAAGCUUGCUUCUCUGAUGUUAGCGGCGGACGGGUGAGUAACACGUGGAUAACCUACCUAUAAGACUGGGAUAACUUCGGGAAACCGUAGCUAAUACCGGAUAAUAUUGUGAACCGCAUGGUUCAAAAGUGAAAGACGGUCUUGCUGUCACUUAUAGAUGGAUCCGCGCUGCAUUAGCUAGUUGGUAAGGUAACGGCUUACCAAGGCAACGAUGCAUAGCCGACCUGAGAGGGUGAUCGGCCACACUGGAACUGAGACACGGCCCAGACUCCUACGGGAGGCAGCAGUAGGGAAUCUUCCGCAAUGGGCGAAAGCCUGACGGAGCAACGCCGCGUGAGUGAUGAAGGUCUUCGGAUCGUAAAACUCUGUUAUUAGGGAAGAACAUAUGUGUAAGUAACUGUGCACAUCUUGACGGUACCUAAUCAGAAAGCCACGGCUAACUACGUG